rnacentral:rRNA from 1 species
AGUAACCUGCCCCUCACUCCGGGAUAACUCCGGGAAACCGGUGCUAAUACUGGAUACGACCCAAGCGGGCAUCCGCAUUGGGUGGAAAGUUUUUCGGUGAGGGAUGGACUCGCGGCCUAUCAGCUUGUUGGUGAGGUAAUGGCUCACCAAGGCGACGACGGGUAGCCGGCCUGAGAGGGCGACCGGCCACACUGGGACUGAGACACGGCCCAGACUCCUACGGGAGGCAGCAGUGGGGAAUAUUGCACAAUGGGCGAAAGCCUGAUGCAGCGACGCCGCGUGAGGGAUGACGGCCUUCGGGUUGUAAACCUCUUUCAGCAGGGACGAAGCUUUUGUGACGGUACCUGCAGAAGAAGCACCGGCUAACUACGUGCCAGCAGCCGCGGUAAUACGUAGGGUGCGAGCGUUGUCCGGAAUUAUUGGGCGUAAAGAGCUUGUAGGCGGUCUGUCGCGUCUGCUGUGAAAACUCGGGGCUUAACCCCGAGCCUGCAGUGGGUACGGGCAGACUAGAGUAUGGUAGGGGAGACUGGAAUUCCUGGUGUAGCGGUGGAAUGCGCAGAUAUCAGGAGGAACACCGAUGGCGAAGGCAGGUCUCUGGGCCAUAACUGACGCUGAGAAGCGAAAGCGUGGGGAGCGAAAAGGGAUUAGAUACCCCUGUAG